rnacentral:rRNA from 1 species
GAUGAACGCUGGCGGCGUGCCUAACACAUGCAAGUCGAGCGAUUCUCUUCGGAGAAGAGCGGCGGACGGGUGAGUAACGCGUGGGUAACCUGCCCUGUACACACGGAUAACAUACCGAAAGGUAUGCUAAUACGAGAUAAUAUGCUUUUAUCGCAUGGUAGAAGUAUCAAAGCUCCGGCGGUACAGGAUGGACCCGCGUCUGAUUAGCUAGUUGGUAAGGUAACGGCUUACCAAGGCGACAAUCAGUAGCCGACCUGAGAGGGUGAUCGGCCACAUUGGAACUGAGACACGGUCCAAACUCCCACGGGAGGCAGCGGUGGGGAAUAUUGCACAAUGGGCGAAAGCCUGAUGCAGCAACGCCGCGUGAGCGAUGAAGGCCUUCGGGUCGUAAAGCUCUGUCCUCAAGGAAGAUAAUGACGGUACUUGAGGAGGAAGCCCCGGCUAACUACGUGCCAGCCGCCGCGGUAA